rnacentral:lncRNA from 1 species
UUAUUGGACAAGGAUUUAUUUUCUUUUUGUUAAAUCAUAGAAAAUUAGAGUUGGAAGAGACCUCAGGUGGUCAUCUAGUCCAACCGCCUGCUCAAAGCAGGACCAACCCCAACUAAAUUAGCCCAGCCAGGGCUUUGUCAAGCCGGGCCUUAAAAAGCUCUAAGGAUGGAAAUUCCACCACCUCCCUUGACUUGUUCCAGUUUGCCCUCUAGUGGCCGACAGUUACAAAAUAUGGAUUUCUAGAAAAUAGUGCUACAUAAAGAUACUUUAGAAAAGACUAGGAUGCAGGAUUUUAUUUAGCACUCUUGCCUGACCUAUGAUUUAAUUCUUUAUUAUUUUCUUUUCUGUGAGCACACAACUAUUUGGGGAGGAGUUUUAUUACCCAUUGAUCCAAGUCCAAUGUGAACAAGCCUACUAUCCAGCUGCCCCUGUGCCAAGAAAGCAGAGGCAUAUAGCAAGCCACCGGCGCUCUCCAUCAUAAGACAACAGCAGGUAAAGGGAAUAGAACAAAAGUCAGUAUAUGAUGAAUAAAGCAGCAGAAAAGGCAGAUGAACAAAGACACUCACGAAGAAGCAGUUAGAAGAACUGUGUGAAUAGUGAGGGCUGUCAGUCGAUCAGAAGAAAUCAGAGCUGGUGGCCUUGCUGCACUUACAUGCCAUGAAGAGCAAUGGGGUUCCUGCCCAAAACUGGGGUCCAGAGAAGUCCCUUUUUCUCUUACAGGGCAUAUAAGAGACCAAGCAGAUGGUUCCCCAGAUGAUCCAGCAGAGAUAGCAGUGAUGCUAUUGCAUUCCCCCUGCAGCUGUCCAGCUAUUCAAUCAUUUGGGUGAGUACGUCUAUAG